AUUGAACGCUGGCGGCAGGCCUAACACAUGCAAGUCGAGCGAGCGGCGGACGGGUGAGUAAUGUAUGGGGACUGCCCGAUAGAGGGGGAUAACUACUGGAAACGGUAGCUAAUACCGCAUACUAUCGGAUAACCCAUAUGGGAUUAGCUAGUAGGUGAGGUAAUGGCUCACCUAGGCGACGAUCCCUAGCUGGUCUGAGAGGAUGAUCAGGCCCACUGGGACUGAUACACGGCCCAGACGCCUACGGAGGCAGCUGUGGGGAAUAUUGCGCAAUGGGCGCAAGCCUGAUGCAGCCAUGCCGCGUGUAUGAAGAAGGCCUUCGGGUUGUAAAGUACUUUCAGCGAGGAGGCGUUACUCGCAGAAGAAGCACCGGCUAACUCCGUGCCAGCAGCCGCGGUAAUC
rnacentral:rRNA from 1 species